ACUGUUUUGGCAGAUUAGUGCAAUAAAUUUAGAAUUUAUGUAUGUAAUUAAA
rnacentral:tRNA from 1 species